rnacentral:lncRNA from 1 species
AAUUUUUUUUAAUUUGAUAAAAUGCUGAGUUAAUGAUGAAACUUAUCAUGAUUUUAUUUACUCCUUUGCUGAUAAAUCUCUACAACUCACAUGAUGAGCAACAUUGUGAAUCUGGUGGCAACAUAUAUUUGCAGAAAGGAAACUCAGCAAGGAAAAGUGAUUGCAAUUGCAAGUGACAAUGGAGGAAAGAUGAUGGAGGCCAUGAGUCAUUUGCUUAACAGUACCCAUUCGGAGGUGUUAAGCUGGCUUUAGCCACGGAAAUCAGAACACAAGGACGUUGAGGAGUUGAGGUGAAAUCAGACUCUCAAAAGAGCGAAAGUAGUGAAAGAGACUGGCUUCUUUUUCAUAUUUGAAAUAUGUAAUAAUUAUUC